rnacentral:lncRNA from 1 species
GGGACCCCCGCCCUGUGACCCCAGGAGUGGUGGGACCCCCUCUCCAUGUCCCCGGGGGCAGUGGGGUGGUGGGACCCCCACUACGAGUCCCUGGGGGUGGUGGGACCCCCGCCCACACCCCCCCGGAGCUAUGGGGCUGAUUUGGGGCCGAUUCGGGGCCGUGCCAGGAGCUGGGGGUGGCGGUGCCGCGGGAGCUGCCGCUGGACACGUCGCGCAUCGAGUGGAUCCGCAUGGGCACCACGGUGGCCACCAACGCGCUGCUGCAGCGCCGGGGCGAGCGCGUGGCCCUGCUGCUCACCCGCGGCUUCCGCGACCUCCUGCACAUCGGCACCCAGGCGCGGCCGCGCAUCUUCGACCUGGUGAGAGGCGGUGCCGUGUGGGGUCGGGGUGGGGUGGCCCCGUCACCUGCAUUGGGAUUGGGGUGCCCCAUAACCUGCAGUGGCAUCGGGGUGGGGUGGCCCCAUAACCUGCACUGGGAUUGGGGUGGGGUGUCCCCAUUUGCACUGGGAUCAGGGUGCCAUGUCCCCAUCACCUGCACCAGGAUCGGGGCUGGAGGUCCCCAUUUGCACCGGGAUCGGGGUGUCAUUUCCCUGUCACCUGCACUGGGAUCGGGGUGGGGUGUCCCCAUUUGUACCGGGAUCGGGGUGGCGUGUCCCCAUCACCUUCAGCAGGAUUAGGGUGGCAUGUCCCUGUAACCUUCACUGGGAUUGGGGUGCCAUGUCCCCAUCACCUGCACUGGGAUUGGGGUGCCAUGUCCCCAUUUGCACCGGGACGGGGUGCCAUGUCCCCAUCUGCACUGGGAUCGGGGCUGUAUGUCCCCAUUUGCACUGGGACCGGGGUGCUGUGUCCCCCCCAUACCCCACACCGGUGUCGGGGUCCCCGUCCCUUCUCCCCACACCAUCCGUGCUGGGGGCAGCGUCCCGCAGCGCCCCCCACCCCCGGGGCUCCCGGCACCCCGUCCCGGUGACCCUCAGCACCCCGCUUGGGGGGCACGGCCCCGGUGCCGUGUCCCGGUCCCCGUCCCCGUCCCCGUCCCGGCUGCCCCCUCCCCGCACCGCGUCCUCUGC